UACGAAGGGGGCUAGCGUUGUUCGGAAUUACUGGGCGUAAAGGGUGUGUAGGCGGUUUUGUAAGUCAGAAGUGAAAGCCCUGGGCUCAACCCGGGAAUUGCUUUUGAAACUAUAAAGCUAGAGUUUGGUAGAGGUGAGUGGAAUACCCAGUGUAGAGGUAAAAUUCGUAGAUAUUGGGUGGAACACCGGUGGCGAAGGCGGCUCACUGGACCAAAACUGACGCUGAGACACGAAAGCGUGGGGAGCAAACAGG
rnacentral:rRNA from 1 species